GGGAAACUGCCUGAUGGAGGGGGAUAACUACUGGAAACGGUAGCUAAUACCGCAUAACGUCGCAAGACCAAAGAGGGGGACCUUCGGGCCUCUUGCCAUCAGAUGUGCCCAGAUGGGAUUAGCUAGUAGGUGGGGUAACGGCUCACCUAGGCGACGAUCCCUAGCUGGUCUGAGAGGAUGACCAGCCACACUGGAACUGAGACACGGUCCAGACUCCUACGGGAGGCAGCAGUGGGGAAUAUUGCACAAUGGGCGCAAGCCUGAUGCAGCCAUGCCGCGUGUAUGAAGAAGGCCUUCGGGUUGUAAAGUACUUUCAGCGGGGAGGAAGGCGAUAAGGUUAAUGACCUUGUCGAUUGACGUUACCCGCAGAAGAAGCACCGGCUAACUCCGUGCCAGCAGCCGCGGUAAUACGGAGGGUGCAAGCGUUAAUCGGAAUUACUGGGCGUAAAGCGCACGCAGGCGGUCUGUCAAGUCGGAUGUGAAAUCCCCGGGCUCAACCUGGGAACUGCAUUCGAAACUGGCAGGCUGGAGUCUUGUAGAGGGGGGUAGAAUUCCAGGU
rnacentral:rRNA from 1 species